rnacentral:rRNA from 1 species
AACGAACGCUGGCGGCAUGCCUAACACAUGCAAGUCGAACGAGACCUUCGGGUCUAGUGGCGCACGGGCGCGUAACGCGUGGGAACCUGCCCUUAGGUUCGGAAUAACUCCCCGAAAGGGGUGCUAAUACCGGAUAAUGUCUUCGGACCAAAGAUUUAUCGCCUUUGGAUGGGCCCGCGUUGGAUUAGCUAGUUGGUAGGGUAAAAGCCUACCAAGGCGACGAUCCGUAGCUGGUCUGAGAGGAUGAUCAGCCACACUGGGACUGAGACACGGCCCAGACUCCUACGGGAGGCAGCAGUGGGGAAUAUUGGACAAUGGGCGAAAGCCUGAUCCAGCAAUGCCGCGUGAGUGAUGAAGGCCUUAGGUUUGUAAAGCUCUUUUACCCGGGAUGAUAAUGACAGUACCGGGAGAAUAAGCUCCGGCUAACUCCGUG